AAUAAAUUUUGCAAUCAUAUAUCUUGGUAUGAUUAUGUAUUCAUAUGAGUUGAUAUGAAUUGAUGCAUAUAUGAUAGGAUCAAAUAUUCAAUAGAUAUAUUGCUGAAUUUUAUAUGUUCAUAUAAGGAUGUGUAUGAGAUCGAGAAAACCCUCUUAAAAAUAAUAUUUAGUCAUAAUGAUAGCAAAUAUGGGUUAACCA
rnacentral:lncRNA from 1 species